rnacentral:rRNA from 1 species
GAUCCUGGCUCAGAUUGAACGCUGGCGGAAUGCUUUACACAUGCAAGUCGAACGGUAGAGGGGGCAACCCCUCGAGAGUGGCGAACGGGUGAGUAAUAUAUCGGAACGUGCCCAGUCGUGGGGGAUAACGUAGCGAAAUUUACGCUAAUACCGCAUACGAUCUACGGAUGAAAGCGGGGGACCUGUAAGGGCCUCGCGCGAUCGGAGCGGCCGAUGUCAGAUUAGGUAGUUGGUGGGGUAAAGGCUCACCAAGCCAACGAUCUGUAGCUGGUCUGAGAGGACGACCAGCCACACUGGAACUGAGACACGGUCCAGACUCCUACGGGAGGCAGCAGUGGGGAAUUUUGGACAAUGGGCGCAAGCCUGAUCCAGCAAUGCCGCGUGCAGGAAGAAGGCCUUCGGGUUGUAAACUGCUUUUGUACGGAACGAAAGGCUCUGGUUAAUACCUGGGGCUGAUGACGGUACCGUAAGAAUAAGCACCGGCUAACUACGUG